rnacentral:rRNA from 1 species
AGAGUUUGAUCCUGGCUCAGAACGAACGCUGGCGGCGCGCCUAAUACAUGCAAGUCGAGCGAGAAGACGUAGCAAUACGUUUGUAAAGCGGCGAACGGGUGAGGAAUACAUGGGUAACCUACCCCAGAGUGGGGAAUAACUAGCCGAAAGGUUAGCUAAUACCGCGUACGCUCCUUGGACUUCGGUUCAGGGAGGAAAGCGAUACCGAGGGUAUCGCGCUCUUGGAUGGGCUCAUGUCCUAUCAGCUUGUUGGUGAGGUAACGGCUCACCAAGGCUUCGACGGGUAGCUGGUCUGAGAGGACGAUCAGCCACACUGGCACUGCGACACGGGCCAGACUCCUACGGGAGGCAGCAGUAAGGAAUAUUGCGCAAUGGGCGAAAGCCUGACGCAGCGACGCCGCGAGGGGGAUGAAGGUCUUCGGAUUGUAAACCCCUUUCGGGAGGGAAGAUGGAAUGGGGUAACCCAUUCGGACGGUACCUCCAGAAGCAGCCACGGCUAACUUCGUGCCAGCAGCCGCGGUAAUAC